rnacentral:rRNA from 1 species
UACGGGGGGAGCAAGCGUUGUUCGGAUUUACUGGGCGUAAAGGGCGCGUAGGCGGCCAGCACAAGUCAGUUGUGAAAUCUCCGAGCUUAACUCGGAAAGGUCAACUGAUACUGUGCGGCUAGAGUGCGGAAGGGGCAACUGGAAUUCUUGGUGUAGCGGUGAAAUGCGUAGAUAUCGAGAGGAACACCUGCGGCGAAGGCGGGUUGCUGGGCCGACACUGACGCUGAUGCGCGAAAGCCAGGGGAGCGAACGGG